UACGUAGGGGGCUAGCGUUGUCCGGAUUUAUUGGGCGUAAAGAGCGUGUAGGCGGCCAGGUAGGUCUGCUGUGAAAACUCGAGGCUCAACCUCGAGACGUCGGCGGAAACCAUCUGGCUAGAGUCCGGAAGAGGAGAGUGGAAUUCCUGGUGUAGCGGUGAAAUGCGCAGAUAUCAGGAAGAACACCAGUGGCGAAGGCGACUACCUGGCCUGUUCUUGACGCUGAGGCGCGAAAGCUAGGGGAGCAAACGGG
rnacentral:rRNA from 1 species